GCUUCCUGUUAUUUCUUUGUAACAAUGCUAAGAAAUGUCAUUUUUGGGGUCUUCUUCCCAAAGGAUCCCAAAGUGUUUUACAUGCAGGACAGGACCUCCUUCAUCUACCACUGAGACGCAGCUUUUAGCAGGGUGACUUGUGGUAGCACCCCAUGCAGGUCAGGUGGAGAAAUGAGAAAUUACCUCACCGAUUAAGUCAAGGAGGAAAUUAAUGGACACCUGAUUGUGAAAACAGAGAAUGGAAUUUACCCAGGACACCAGUUUAAUCUGUCUCGUAUCUUGAAAAGAACUUUGACUGACUAUAUUGUCAGGGCCUUGCACCCAGGCUCCAAAAAUGUGCCACUGCGAGUCACUGCUGACAGAAAUAAAUGGGCCUGCCAGGAUCCUGUGCCAAAUGCGAAGAGGGAGCAAACAAGAAGGUUUUGACUGAGGUCUGCUGGCUUUCUGGUGGAAUCCAAGAGUUCAUCGGGUUAUCAAAACACACACCCUCUCGAGGCUUUAAUAAAGUCCCCCUAACAGGCAGUACUGUU